rnacentral:rRNA from 2 species
ACUGAUUGAUGGUGCUUGCACCUGAUUGACGAUGGAUCACCAGUGAGUGGCGGACGGGUGAGUAACACGUAGGUAACCUGCCCCGGAGCGGGGGAUAACAUUUGGAAACAGAUGCUAAUACCGCAUAACAACAAAAGCCACAUGGCUUUUGUUUGAAAGAUGGCUUUGGCUAUCACUCUGGGAUGGACCUGCGGUGCAUUAGCUAGUUGGUAAGGUAACGGCUUACCAAGGCGAUGAUGCAUAGCCGAGUUGAGAGACUGAUCGGCCACAAUGGAACUGAGACACGGUCCAUACUCCUACGGGAGGCAGCAGUAGGGAAUCUUCCACAAUGGGCGCAAGCCUGAUGGAGCAA